rnacentral:lncRNA from 1 species
GCCUAUUUUUGGCACACGGAGGCCGCUAGCAAAGUCUCCCGGCAUUCCGAGUCCGGCGGACGAAGUGGGCCAGCGCCACCCCCCAAGGCUAUAGCCCACCCGUUUUUGUGGCCUUUUUGCACUGGACGAACUUGGCGCCCCGGCCUUCGGGUGGUUAUUUUUGGGCGCGGCUUUGCCCGAGGUCUAUUUUUGGCACACGGAGGCCCCUCGAAAAGUCUCGCGGCAUUCCGAGUCCGGCGGAUGAAGUUGGCCAGCCCCACCCCCCGAGGCUAUAGCCCACCCGUUUUUGUGGCCUUUUUCCGCUGGACGAACUUGGCGCCCCGGCCUUCGGGCGGUUAUUUUUGGGCGCGGCUUUGCCCGUGGCCUAUUUUUGGCACACGGAGGCCCCUCGCAAAGUCUCGCGGCAGUCCGAGUCCGGCGGACGAAGUUGGCCAGCCCCACCCCCCAAGGCUAUAGCCCACCUGUUUUUGUGGCCUUUUUCCGCUGGACGAACUAGGCGCCCCGGCCUUCGGGCGGUUAUUUUUGGGCGCGGCUCUGCCCACGGCCUAUUUUUGGCACACGGAGGCCCCUCGCAAAGUCUCGCGGCAUUCCGAGUCCGGCGGACGAAGUUGGCCAGCCCCACCACCCAAGGCUAUAGCCCACCCGUUUUUGUGGCUUUUUUCCGCUGGACGCACUUGGCGCCCCGGACUUCGGGCGUUUAAUUUUGGGUGCCUCAUUGCCCGCGGCCUAUUUUUGGCACACGGAGGCCCCUCGCAAUGUCUCGCGGCAUUCCGAGUCCGGCGGACGAAGUGGGCCAGCCCCACCGCCCAAGGCUAUAGCCCACCCGUUUUUGUGGCCUUUUUCCGCUGGACGAACUUGGCGCCCCGGCCUUCGGGCGGUUAUUUUCUGGCCGGCUUUGACCGCGGCCUAUUUUUGGCACACGGAGGCCCCUCGCAAAGUCUCGCGGCAUUCCGAGUCCGGCGGAUGAAGUUGGCCAGCCCCACCCCCAAGGCUAUAGCCCACCCGUUUUUGUGGCCUUUUUCCGAUGGACGAACUUGGCGCCCCGGCCUUCGGCUGGUUAUUUUUGAGCGCGGCUGUACCCGCGGCCUAUUUUUGGCACAUGGAGGCGCCUCGCAAAGUCUCGCGCCAUUCCGAGUCCGGCGGACGAAGUCGGCCAGCCCCACCCCCCAAGGCUAUAGCCCACCCGUUUUUGCGGCCUUUUUCCGCUGGACGAACUUGGCGCCCCGGCCUUCGGGUGGUUAUUUUUGUGCGCGGCUGUGCCCACGGCCUAGUUUUGGCACACGGAGGUGCCUCGCAAAGUCUCGCGCCAUUCCGAGUCCGGCGGACGAAGUUGGCCAGCCACACCCCCCAAGGCUAUAGCCCACCCGUUUUUGUGGCCUUUUUCUGAUGGACG